GCCUGGUGGCCAUAGAGCCUUGGCACCACCCGAUCCCAUCCCGAACUCGGCAGUGAAACAGGGCUUCGCCGAUGAUAGUGGGGGCUCGCCCCCGUGAAAGUAGGGCACCGCCAGGC
rnacentral:rRNA from 1 species